rnacentral:rRNA from 1 species
CCUACGGGGAGCAGCAGUGGGGAAUAUUGCACAAUGGGGGAAACCCUGAUGCAGCGACGCCGCGUGAGUGAUGAAGGAAUUCGUUAUGUAAAGCUCUAUCAGCAGGGAAGAAAAUGAAGGUACCUGAGUAAGAAGCCCCGGCUAACUACGUGCCAGCAGCCGGGGUAAUAAGUAGGGGGCAAGCGUUAUCCGGAUUUACUGGGUGGAAAGGGAGCGUAGACGGCAGUGCAAGUCUGGAGUGAAAGGCGGGGGCUCAACCCCCGGACGGCUCUGGAAACUGUACGGAUGGAGUGCAGGAGAGGUAAGUGGAAUUCCUGGUGUAGCGGUGAAAUGCGUAGAGAUUAGGAGGAACUCCAGUGGCGAAGGCGGCUUACUGGACUGUAACUGACGUUGAGGCUCGAAAGCGUGGGGAGCAAACAGGAUUAGAUACCCCGGUAGUC